rnacentral:rRNA from 1 species
GACGAACGCUGGCGGCGUGCUUAACACAUGCGAGUCGAACGGAAAGGCCCCCACCUUGGUGGGGGUGCUCGAGUGGCGAACGGGUGAGUAACACGUGGGUGAUCUGCCCUGUACUUCGGGAUAAGCUUGGGAAACUGGGUCUAAUACCGGAUAGGACCAUGGUUUAGUGUCUCAUGGUGGAAAAAUUAUUGUUUUGGUGCAGGAUGAGCUCGCGGCCUAUCAGCUUGUUGGUGGGGUAAUGGCCUACCAAGGCGUCGACGGGUAGCCGGCCUGAGAGGGUGAACGGCCACAUUGGGACUGAGAGACGGCCCAGACACCGACGGGAGGCAGCAGUGGGGAAUAUUGCACAAUGGGCGCAAGCCUGAUGCAGCGACGCCGCGUGGGGGAUGACGGCCUUCGGGUUGUAAACUCCUUUCGUUAGGGACGAAGCCACACCUUUUUUGGGUGUGGUGACGGUACCUUUGUUAAGAAGCACCGGCUAACUACGUG